GUGGAAUAGUGCCCCAUUGGUGUUGAGAGGGGUGGGGGGGGUUAGUGGCCCAUUAUUGGUUUCAGUGGGAAGGACUGGUGCCUCAUCAGUGGUGUCGGUAGAAAUAAUAGGCCCUAAGGGCUGGAUAAAGGCAAGCAGAGGCCCGCAUCUGGCCCAUGGACCACAGUUUGGAGACCACUGAUCUAAUGGAGAGCAUGUGGGUAAAACAUUGCUACAUUCUUACCCUGGUGCUAAUUUGCCUCUAAAUGGAAUGUUAUAGCUUAACAAGCAAAGCUAUGUAGCAAUGGUGUGAUAUAUUCUGACUAAAUAAGGCAGUGCUCAAUGCUCAUUAGCAUUCAGUUGGCUUUGGUUUCAGUGCACUGUGGAUACUCUGUAUAUGCUGAGAUAGUUUCAUGGUCAGGCACCCCAGGUGAUGUGUAUAUUGAGAAGGUUUCAUGAUCCAGCACACCAGCUGGUGUAUAUGUUAAGAUGAUUUCAUGGUCUGGCACCCCAGGUGGUAUAUAUGUUAAGAUGGUGACAUGGUCCGCAACCCCAGGUGGUGUAUACGCUGAGAUGGUCUCAUAGCCCAGCACCCCAGGUGGUGUAUACGCUGAGAUGGUCUCAUAGCCCAGCACCCCAGGUGGUGUAUAUGUUAAGAUGAUUUCAUGGUCUGGCACCCCAGGUGGUAUAUAUGUUAAGAUGGUGACAUGGUCCGCAACCCCAGGUGGUGUAUACGCUGAGAUGGUCUCAUAGCCCAGCACCCCAGGUGGUGUAUACGCUGAGAUGGUCUCAUAGCCCAGCACCCCAGGUGGUGUAUACGCUGAGAUGGUCUCAUAGCCCAGCACCCCAGGUGGUGUAAAUGUUAAGAUGGUUUCAUGGUCGGGCACCCCAGGUGGUGUAUAUGUUAAGAUGGUUUCGUGGUCAGGUAUGCCAGGUAAUGUUGAUCUCCAGUUUCUAAAAAAAACCUUGCUGUCCACUGUCUUCAGACGUCUCUUAGAGACUUGUAGCUAAGAUACAGCUGGAGUAAUAAUCUAUUUCUGCACUUAGCAAGACCAUACAUUUAAGUUUAUAUGUUGCCCAUUACUUACAUUAUUUUGCAAUAAUUCUUCUGCAGUAGUGCAUUUUAUCUACUACUUUGAACCAGGCUAAUAGCAAAAAAAAAAGUUUUGACUAUACCCUUCAAAUGUC